rnacentral:rRNA from 1 species
CCUACGGGUGGCAGCAGUGAGGAAUAUUGGUCAAUGGACGAGAGUCUGAACCAGCCAAGUAGCGUGAAGGAUGACUGCCCUAUGGGUUGAAAACUUCGUUUAUAAAGGAAUAAAACGAGGCACGUGUGCCUUUUUGCAUGUACUUUAUGAAUAAGGAUCGGCUAACUCCGUGCAAGCAGCCGCGGUAAUACGGAGGAGCCGAGCGUUAUCCGGAUUUAUUGGGUUUAACGGGAGCGUAGGUGGAUUGUUAAGUCAGUUGUGAAAGUUUGCGGCUCAACCGUAAAAUUGCAGUUGAAACUGGCAGUCUUGCGUACAGUAGAGGUGGGCGGAAUUCGUUGUGUAGCGGUGA